rnacentral:rRNA from 1 species
UACGGAGGUGCGAGCGUUAAUCGGAUUUACUGGGCGUAAAGCGUGCGUAGGCGGCUUUUUAAGUCGGAUGUGAAAUCCCCUGAGCUUAACUUAGGUAAUUGCAUUCGAUACUGGGAAGCUAGAGUAUGGGAGAGGAUGGUAGAAGUUCCAGGUGUAGCGGUGAAACGCGUAGAGAUCUGGAGGAAUACCGAUGGCGAAGGCAGCCAUCUGGCCUAAAUACUGACGCUGAGGUACGAAAGCAUGGGGAGGCAAACAGGAUUAGAUACCCGCGUAGU